rnacentral:rRNA from 1 species
UACGUAGGGUCCGAGCGUUGUCCGGAAUUACUGGGCGUAAAGAGCUCGUAGGUGGUUUGUCGCGUUGUUCGUGAAAACUCACAGCUCAACUGUGGGCGUGCGGGCGAUACGGGCAGACUAGAGUACUGCAGGGGAGACUGGAAUUCCUGGUGUAGCGGUGGAAUGCGCAGAUAUCAGGAGGAACACCGGUGGCGAAGGCGGGUCUCUGGGCAGUAACUGACGCUGAGGAGCGAAAGCGUGGGGAGCGAAUGGG